rnacentral:tRNA from 2 species
UUAGUUGAAGCUAAAGUAAGAAGCAUCUCACUGUUAAUGGGAUUUAGGGUUGCUCAACCCCAAUUAAG